AAACAGUGGCUAAGACUGGAUAGGAAGAUAAAAGGCAUCUUUUAUCUUUUAAAAGACCUAGUAAUAGGUAUGCUUUAGGAGGGGCUUGCGCCAUAUUAGUUAGUUGGUAGGGUAAUGGCCUACCAAGACGAUGAUGUGUAGCUGGACUGAGAGGUUGAACAGCCACAUUGGGACUGAGACACGGCCCAAACUCCUACGGGAGGCAGCAGUAGGGAAUUUUCGGCAAUGGAGGAAACUCUGACCGAGCAACGCCGCGUGAAUGACGAAGUACUUCGGUAUGUAAAGUUCUUUUAUCAAGGAAGAAAAGCAAAUGGCGAACCAUUUGUUUGCCGGUACUUGAUGAAUAAGCCCCGGCUAAUUAUGUGCCAGCAGCCGCGGUAAGACAUAAGGGGCAAGUGUUAUCCGGAAUUAUUGGGCGUAAAGGGUGCGUAGGCGGUCUAGUAAGUCAGUGGUGUAAUGGCAACGCUUAACGUUGUCCGGCUAUUGAAACUGCUAAACUUGAGUUAGAUAGAGGCGAGUGGAAUUCCAUGUGUAGCGGUAAAAUGCGUAAAUAUAUGGAGGAACACCAGAGGCGUAGGCGGCUCGCUGGGUCUUAACUGACGCUGAGGCACGAAAGCGUGGGGAGCAAACAGGAUUAGAUACCCUGGUAGUCCACGCCGUAAACGAUGAGUACUAAGUGUCGGGUUAAACCGGUACUGAAGUUAACACAUUAAGUACUCCGCCUGAGUAGUACGUACGCAAGUAUGAAACUUAAAGGAAUUGACGGGACUCCGCACAAGCGGUGGAUCAUGUUGUUUAAUUCGAAGAUACCCGAAAAACCUUACCAGGUCUUGACAUGUUUUUGCAAAAUGAUAGUAAUAUCGUGGAGGUUACCAGAAACACAGGUGGUGCAUGGUUGUCGUCAGCUCGUGUCGUGAGAUGUUAGGUUAAGUCCUAAAACGAGCGAAACCCUUAUCGUUAGUUGCCAGCACGUUAUGGUGGGGACUUUAACGAGACUGCCAAUGAUAAAUUGGAGGAAGGUGAGGAUCACGUCAAAUCAGCAUGCCCCUUAUGACCUGGGCUACAAACGUGAUACAAUGGCUGUUACAAAGGGUAGCUGAAACGCAAGUUCUUGGCCAAUCCCCAAAAACAGUCCCAGUCCGGAUUGAAGUCUGCAACUCGACUUCAUGAAGUUGGAAUCGCUAGUAAUCGCGAAUCAGCAUGUCGCGGUGAAUACGUUCUCGGGGUUUGUACACACCGCCCGUCA
rnacentral:rRNA from 1 species